rnacentral:tRNA from 1 species
AGGCUUUAUAGUCAAUACAUGAUAUCAGACUGCAAUUCUGAAGUAGUAGUCAUACUAAAGCUUA